rnacentral:rRNA from 1 species
UAGGGAAUCUUCCACAAUGGACGCAAGUCUGAUGGAGCAACGCCGCGUGAGUGAAGAAGGUUUUCGGACCGUAAAGCUCUGUUGUUGGUGAAGAAGGAUAGAGGUAGUAACUGGCCUUUAUUUGACGGUAAUCAACCGGAAAGUCACGGCUAACUACGUGCCAGCAGCCGCGGUAAUACGUAGGUGGCAAGCGUUGUCCGGAUUUAUUGGGCGUAAAGCGAGCGCAGGCGGAAGAAUAAGUCUGAUGUGAAAGCCCUCGGCUUAACCGAGGAAUUGCAUCGGAAACUGUUUUUCUUGAGUGCAGAAGAGGAGAGUAGAACUCCAUGUGUAGCGGUGGAAUGCGUAGAUAUAUGGAAGAAUACCAGUGGCGAAGGCGGCUCUCUGGUCUGCAACUGACGCUGAGGCUCGAAAGCAUGGGUAGCGAACAGGAUUAGAUACCCUGGUAGUCCAUGCCGUAAACGAUGAGUGCUAAGUGUUGGGAGGCUUCCGCCUCUCAGUGU